UAUUUUCAAAAAAUCACUCAUGGAAAACAUUUUUACUCCAGCUGUUAUUGUCAUCCAUGUUAUGAGACAUAGCAAUUGUAAUUCGGAUAAACAAUUUACCAUUGUACAUUUAUCAACAGGGAUGUGUUCAUUACGAAAAUUUUCCGCUAGGAUGGUUUGACAAAGAAAGACUGAAAUGGACCAUAUCAUGUUUUAUGGUGACCAUCGAAGUAUUUGACAGAAACAGUGUGUCUGAGUUUUUACUAACAAAACAACGUGUUGUGUUCUUUAUUCUCAAGACAUUAGUAAAGAAAUGAAAACUUAUAUUCACUAAUUGUGUCCUAUUCUAGAUCUGUGUCGUUAUACUGUGCCAGGAGUACAUUGCACAGUACAUGCAAGAGAUUCUACGUUCUUUAACUUCGGUAUUGAUAAGACCUGCAUUCUGUGGCAUAGCACCACUAAUGGUUAUUAUUUUGACGAUAAUGUGCGAAUGACAAACUGAAUUAUAAGCCGGGUUUUGACAUUUUCCGAUAACGAAAUGAUCAAUUAUUUUAAUUGCAUAUAGUCAUGUUAUUACGGAUACAUCUUUUAUAAUAGGAUUUGUUCAUUUGUGUUUUUAAUAUAUUACAGAUGCAUAUGAAUUUUGUUUUCUUUUUGAUUUAUAGUGUGUUGUAUUGAUGUUUUUAAUAUUAUUUUCAUUCAGUGUUUAAGUCCCUACUUCUACGUCAUGCGAUAUUUGGUAGAGAAUUGUCUGUUUAGAACUUGUAAAAACUCGUUUAAAAAUAAACAAACCAUUACGAAAAAAACUACUGAAAAAUGAGGGCACCGAAUGACUUCAGAAUGAAUUGGACAAGGUUCGAGGACAACCUUGUGAUUUUUCUGCUAUGUAUGUUGCCGUCAAGCUCAAUUAAUAUGAUAUGAUAGGAUAUACUACACAAUCGGGGGAAAUACAGAUCUGACGACUAUUCUGAUGUCAACUAUUCACGUCUCUGAUGGAUUUAGAAAUAUUCACUUUGUAUCGAACAACAGUUUUGAGAAAACUAUAAGACUUGAUUAGUGUAAAGUAAAAAGUGAAAUUACAAAAAUACCGAGCUCCAGGGGAAAUUCAAAAUAGGAAGUCCUCUACAAAAUGGCAAAAUCAGAAGCUCAAAAAUAUUUAACGAAUGGAAAAUAACUGUCAUAUUCCUAACUUGGUAAAGGCAUUUUCUUAUGUAUUAAAUUGUGGAUUAAACCUGAUUUUAUAGCUA